rnacentral:lncRNA from 1 species
AAGAAAUAUUAUGAUACAUUAAUCGUAUACUGCAAGUCUAACCACAUUAGUGAUCUAAAGUUUGAGACAAUGCCUAGUCGUUUAGGACAAGUUUACUGUUAUGCCAGCUCAACCAACAUAAAUAAAAGAGUUUAUGGAAGUGGAGGUGAGUUUAUUGUCAACCCAUUAUAUAAAAUUUAUGAUUCUAACUGAAGAUUCUUCUAACAAUGUAAGAUAAGAUUAUUUCUACCAAAGUUGUUCAUGAAUUCAUUGAUUUAUUUUUUAUGCAUGUGCUGUUUCCAUUGUUUGUGGUGUUAUCAAUGUAUUUGUUGUUGAUUAUAAAAAAAGAAGAUGUGGUAUGAUUGCCAAUGAGAUAACUCUCCACAAGAUACCAAAAUGACACAAAAAUUAACAACCAUAGGUUGCCGUACAGCCUUCAAUAAUGAGCAAAGCCCAUAAUGCAUGGUAAGCUUUAAAAGGCCCGAAAUGACAAUGUAAAACGAUUCAAAUGAGAAUCAGUUUAAGGAGAACAACAAGUUAUAGGUCAGUGAUAUUUUGCAAAUGAGUCCAAAAUUAAACUGACAAAGUCAAAGUCAUGACAAGCAGUUAUAAACAUUUACACAUCUCAUUUGCAUGGAGAUUAUUUGGUACCAUACCUUUUUGAUCUAUUUACUUUGAAACGUUUGUGGAAUUUACAUUAAUAAAAAAUGACACAAUAAACUUUAAAGCAUAUGCAUGAUAUAAAUGAACUAAAAUCAAAAAUAUAUUCAAGUCUAGCAAAGGCUUGAGGCUUCUGAUAAGGCUUUAUAAGGUCAUAAAGGGAACCCCUUAUGGUAAUUCAGUGAUAUUUGUUAUGCAGUUCUAGUAUCAUAGCAUUGUAACACAAUUUGUAUUUACUUCCAGAUUUAUUUGGAUCUAGUGUAGAAGCAGAAUUUGCAGCCUGUCGGACAGCUUGUGUAGAGUUAGGUCUCCUUAAUG